GGGCUUGCUUCGGCAGCACAUAGACUAAAAUUGGAACGAUACAGAGAAGAUUAGCAUGGGCCCUGUGCAAGGAUGACACGCAGACUGAUGAUAAUCAAAUAACUAUU